CUGUGAAAUUGUGAGAGAGAGAGAGAGAGAGAUCUGAGGGACAUCUCCCACUUUCUUGAUUUCUGUCAAUCUCUCUUUGUUGCCCCCGGCUCCCCUCCAUCUCUCUUGUCUUGCCCCAUGCUCUGCCUGCGUCUCAUUCGUCUCUAUCUGCAGAACACCCCAAGCCUUGAAAGAUCCAUCUGUUUGACUCCUAAUGACGGUGACCCACAACAAAGAAGAUCAAGAUCAAGAUCUGAGUUUUUGUUGAUUUGGGUGAAAUCUUUUUUAAAUAUUAACCAAACUCUAGUAUCUGACUUGACGAUUUCUCUAAAAAAUAUCAUCCACAUCAACCCUUCUAUUCAUCUUAUUUUUAUGAGAAAUAAAGAGAAGCCUACUAGCGUGCAAGAUAGUUUUGUUUUGUUUUUGUUUUUGCUUUUUUUGUUUGUGUGAUGAUCUCCCUAUUUUUGAAGCUUCAUUGAAGUUACUCAAAAAUGAAACAGUGGACAUUAUUAUUUGGACUGCCAAAAUUGACACAGAUUAUUGAGUUUUUGCACCUUCCAUGUGAGAAAGGUUUUUGGAGACGUAGUGUUCUCUUAUCGAAAAUGACUUCAAAUGUUGACCAUUGUGCUAUGUCUUCACGGUCUAUCACUUAUGCCUAGGUCAUGAUUGCAACAGGACCAAGUUAUUGUGGAUGCCUGCAUCACUUUCCAAUUGGGUAGAAGUGUUUCUCAAUUCUCAGAUUGGAAGAACUCUAAAUGAACUUCUUUAGAGCCAACAGCUUAAAUUGACUGCAGAUGCUGAUUAUUCAGGGAAAAAGGCAAAAGAAAUGGCAUGAAUGGGAGAAACUUAAUCUUAUUAUGCACAUAUUGGGGAAAAAAGCUCAUUCUCUUACUACAAUAGGACACAGUAUUUUAGUAACAUUCUUGCUCAAUUCCUUAUGGAGAAGAUGCAAUACUACAGAGCUACAGGUAUUGCAUGAAGGUGUUCGACAGCUACCAGGUGCUUGGAGGCCAUUUAAGGUCACAUCAAAAAAUGAUGUAGAAAUAUCCAGAUUUUCAAAGCCACAACAACUCUCUUGUUGGUAGCAUCACUUAUUUCAAUCCAGUACCAAAGGGCCUAGGUAUAACUUCCUUGGGAGCUCUUAUGAAGAAUUAUUUUUCAUCCAAAGCUAAUACAUAUCAAGCACACUCUUCUCUUGUCGUUUCUCGUUUGUGCAGCUGAUACAUAUCAGAGUCUUGUUCGUCCUUUAUUGCUGCUCUGUGUCUGUCGCUAGUCCACCACUCGUCCAUCUCUUUUCCUUCUCUCCUUCACCUCUCCUCCGCCAUCUCAUAGAUUCGGAUCUCUUCCUUCCCUAAGCUUCUCCUUCCUUCAUUAACGGUGGUUGCAUUUCACCGUUGAUUUCUCCCCAUCUCUUUCAUGGAUCAAGCUCAUUUUGGAACUUGGACGGCAUUUCGAAGCUGAGAGAACUCCGACCAGCUGCUUUUGCAACCUAUGGAGUGCAAAAGUGAACAUUUCGACUAGCUUGUGGAACUCCAAUCCUCUUCUCCGAUCUGCUCUUCGAUCUGCAAGUGUCUGGAUGAUGGCAAAAGAAUCCAACUCUAGCGUAAUUCUGUUUGUACCCAGCAGUCCAACAAGUAAUCAUCAAGACAGUCCAAAGUACAUUUAAGCUGAUCGAUAGACUUCACCUAAAAUUAAAACAUCAUCUCCAAACAUUAAAUGAGAAAUCUUAGGUCCAUUCUUACAAAAAAAUUAAGCUCUAAAUCAAGCUUCAUAACAAAGAAACCUCUUCCUAUUCUCAUUCUCUUCAUAACAUGUAAGAUUAUUGAGCAAACUACAUUCUCUUGGUGCCUAUUUGGAAACACCCAUUUAAUCAAUUAUUAAGGGAUACACUCCAAACAAGCAACUAUUGAACUAGUUUGUGAAGUAAAAUAAUAUUAAAAACAAUCUACCAGACCUGAGAUAAAUUAAACAUUAAUUAAUAAUUAGACAAUCCAAGUAGUUUGCAACUCAUACUGUCUUUAAAAUCCUAUCUUUGAUUUUUAUUAUCAGUGGAUCAUAAGCAUAUUUUUAUCGAUGUGAAACUUUAUGACCAUCAUAUAGGACCUAAAUCAAAUUGUUUUAGACGGUGAUUCUCGGUUUACAUCAAAUUUAUGGUAGGCUAUGCAAAGGGCUAUGGGCACGGAUAUGAAGUUUAGUAUGUCUUAUCAUCCACAGACAAAUGGAUAGACUGAGUGGACGAUCCAGACAUUAGAGGACAUGUUGAGAUUGUGUGCCCUAGAGCUUCAGGGAAGCUGGGAUAAGCAUUUGCCUCUGGUAGAAUUUGCUUACAAUAAUAGUUAUUAUGCCAGUAUUCAAAUGACUCCUUAUAAAGCAUUGUAUGGAAGUAAGUGCAAAUCACCUCUCUGUUGGUAUAAGUUGAGUGAGAGAGGACAUUGAUGGGACUGGAUGUGGUAGAUGAGACCACAGAGAAAAUCAAAUUGAUCCAAUAAAAACUUCUUACGGCAUAAAGUAGAUAAAAAAGUUUGCAGAUAAUUGUCGUAAGGACUUGUCUUUUGAGGUUGGGGAUCAUGUAUUUCUCAAGGUUUUUUUAUUGACGGAAGUUGGACGCUCAAUUUAAGCUAAAAAAAUUAUCUUUUCGAUAUAUGGGUUCUUUUAAGGUUUUGAAGAAAAUUGGGCCAGUGGCUUAUCAGUUGGCAUUAUCGCCUUAGUUUGCGGUCUAGAUGUUUUAUGUGUCACAGUUGAAGAAGUACCAGCCAGACCUGUUGUAUGUGAUAGAACUUGAGGAGGUUGAAAUUUAGGAGAAUUUAACCUACCAGACUGAACCAGAUCGUAUUGUGGAUGCUAAAGAUAAAUAUCUCAGAAAUAAGAGAGUUUGGUUGCUAAAAGUGAUCUAGAAAGGGACGGCUCUGGGAGAUACAACCUAGGAGAUUGAGGAUCAAAUGAGGAAGGAGUAUCCAUAGUUGUUUCCUUAAGUAUGUUUUUCUCUUUGACUUAUGAAUUAGCUUAGAUUUUGGGGAUAAAAAUUCUUUUUAAAGGAGGGGAGAAUGUAACAUUCUGAAAUUUUAAGACUUGAAUCUAUUUUAAAAUAAAUGCAUGACAUAGGCUGGUAUGACAUUUCCUAAUCGGCAGAAUGCCCCUUGGCACUAGUUAGCUCGCAGGUAAACUUUAUACCCACUUGUACCUCCACAGGCACAAAAUAUAAUCUAAGGCAUAAUCGAAUCCACCUAAUCGCUUAUGCUUCUUCAACGUGCAUCCUAAGCAGUCGAAGCUAACUCCCUCCCAGAGCUAGCCCGACUUACUUUUCAUGUGAGGGCUACUUUAGCCUAGGCACUUAACCUCACACUUUCUAUAUCGAAUUUCCUCCUUACUGAGAGGUGUUGAACAUUCAAUCCACUAACCACUUUAGUAUACUAUUGGCAAUGUGCCAUAGAAUAUUACAAGUUCACACCUCCCUAUUGGUGAACUCCUACUGACAUCAUGCCGUUCACUCUUGUCUACUUCUCCCGAGUAUUAACCACUUCAAUACUAUAAGGUGGUAUAACAAAUAUCACUCCUCCCUUAAGUGGUUCCUUAGCCUAUCUAAGGUACCUAACCCAAUUACACUUCCUUAAGUGCAACUUCCAUUCUCUAUAAUUAUAAUGCAUGCAAACAAUCUCAUUUUUAUAAAAACAUUAUUGUUAAACAAAUAGAAAACAUAUAUGUACUAUUAUCUAAGUAGUACCUCAUAAGUCCUUAUAAAACACAAUUAAUUGCAUUUAAUCAUUUAAAAUAUGUAAUACAUGAUAGCUAGUAAUAUUUAUUCAAAAAUAGCUAAACAAAGUAAUAAGAAAUAUAGAUUCCCUUGUUACUUCAACCUUUUUAUACUAAAAGAAUUUUUCCUUGUAUAAAAUGAAGCUUCGCUUGUUCCUUAUUCUCCAAUUAAGUUCCACCAAUAAUUCCCUAUAACAUAUAAAUGAUCUAUAUCACUUUUCAUGGCAAAUAACAUUAAUAAAGACUAUAAAUCAUACCACACAACUUGGGUCAAUGAGCUAUAAUCCAUUCUAAUGGUUCAUAUAUCAAAACAACCAUUCAUAUAGUAUCACUUAAGCACUAAAACCAUUUAUUAGCCACCAAUAGGCCUAUUUCCAAUUCAUAUAAUUUUUAAUUAAUUAAAAACCUUCAUUUAAUGUCAUCAACUUUCAUAAUUAGCCCUUAUAAUUAAAACUAAAGCUUAAUUUAAAUCUUAUUGGAUUUAAAUAGCACAAUUAUAACUAAAUCAAUAGGCUUAAACUAUUGAAGAGUGAAAUUCAAUCUCUUAGGGUUUAACUUUUUCCCUAAAACUCCCUUUUUCAUCUAAUUGCCCAUUUAAAAUAUUAAAACACCAUAUAGAAACUCAAAACAACCUCUAUGGGACUAAAGGAAUCAAGAAUUUUUCUCUUUCAAAAACUCAAGAAAACCAAGAAGGAAGGAAGAUGAUUGAAAAUCUUCUACUUGAGAGUGGAACUACUCCUAUGUACUCUCAAUUUUAUGUGGUUGACACAGAGAAUGAGAUUAAUAAUCUCAUAUAUGUGGUAAGGUACAAGUAUAUUUUAAGUGGAUACAUUUACAAUCAUUUAAGUGGUUAUAUUGUUUUUUUUCGUAAUUUUGUUCUUUAUUUUAAUUUACAAGGGAUGGAAUAAAAAGGAUCACAUAGAUCUGAUUAUUGUGGAGAAACUAACAUCUUUGCUUGACAAUAUUAAUAUAUUAGUAAAGCUUUAUAGAUUUUCUUCUAAAAUUGUUACGACCAGUUGCAAAUAUGAUAUUAAAAUGUGAUUAUUGAGUGAAAGAUUAGCUAGUCAGAGGAAUUAUGAUUUACUUGUGUCUUCUGAUAUUGCUGCCCUAAUAAUUGGAGAAUUUGACCACUCUUAUCAUUCGAGGGAUAUUAUUGUGAGGAAACAAUCUAGUGAAUGUAAUAUUGAGCUUUGUAUGCUGUACUACCUCUUUAGUACCUAAUUUUCUUUCCAUGUGGUACUGGAGGGUAUGAAUCUAAUAUUGAGCAUGCAUAUCAAUUUGAGCAUAGAAUUAUGAAGAAAAAAUGGUUUAUGUAAGGGAGUUCUUAGCUUAUUGCUGAUGAGUAGUGACAAUGAAUGUCCUAUGUUACUCCAUUUUGAAAAAAUUAUUGCAAUAGUAUAUUGUUGAUGGUUAUAUUAUGAUUGAAGCUGAUCGACUUCAUUUCAUUCGAUGAAAUCAAACAAAAUUAUGUGUUGGUAAGUACAAACAUUUGUCAGAUGUUAUCUUGAGGGGAGAAGAUCAUGCUAUGUCUACUGGUAAGUGCAUAAUUUUGCAGUCUUCCUUUGUUGGCAGUCCUAGGUGUCUUCUUGAAAAUUAUCAUGAUGCAAUGGCUAUUGCUUGAAUUAAAGGUCAUCUUGAUUUAUUUUUGACAUUCAAGUGUAACCUUGCUUGGCUUGAAUUGAAAUGAGUUUGUGAAAUAUAUUGUUCUACGAUGUAACAUCCUAAAAAUUAAGCCCCUGGUAAUUAACGUAAUUAAAGGUAAUUAAGUUGAAUUUAUAUGAUAUAUGGUCAGAGGGGACUAAUGAGUGUUUUUGAUUGUGAUUUCAGCCAUAGAUUUAGAUCCAAAGUGAAAUUGGGUCACUUUAGCAUCAAAAGUGGAGGAAAACAAAAGAAGAUGACCUCUGUGCCACAUGCCGCAAUAUGUAUGUGGUGUGCUGCAACCCAUGGAGCAAGAAAGAUGAGGAGGAGCCUUUCUGUAUCACAUGUCGUAGCAUGUGUGAUGUGCAUUAUAGUGCAGGACCUAUUUUCUACAAAAAUAAGUCGCACAUCAGAUCAAAAUAGGAAAGAAAAGAGAAAAUAAUGAGAGGGAGAAGAGGAGAGCUUGAGCUCAACUAGGACAAGACAUUGUAAAGGAUUUUUAGAGGGUUUAAAGCUCCCAAUCACUAAGAUAAAUCUUUCCUA